AGAAGUUACUGGCAGGGGAGAUACCAUGAUCACGAAGGUGGUUUUCCCAGGGCGAGGCUUAUCCGUUGCACUCCAUAAAAUUCUUUCAGCUUCUGCCUACUGUACAAUUCUGAAGC
rnacentral:snRNA from 1 species